rnacentral:lncRNA from 1 species
GGUACUUGAAAGCCUUUUUCGGAUGAGAGAUAUCGAAGGUAACACACCUCUGCAUAACGCUGUAACAAAGCAACACAAGCGUGUGAUUCGGAUUCUGGUUGAAAAGGACAGUGUUCCAAGUAGCUAUAUUAAUAAAGCUUACCAGACCCCACUCUCAAUCGCCAUUGAUGCAAGGUUAAAUGAUAUUGCAUGUUUCAUCAUCGAUAAAAGUCCAGAGUCUCUUAACACCACUAGAUUGCCAGAUGAACUGACACUUCUCCAUUUUGUUGUCAUGAGGCAAAACUAUGGUGAGCCGGCUCGUGAUUAAUUAAUUUUUCAUUUCUUUAAACGAAUGUCUUCAGUAUAUAUAGUUUGAGAUUUUUCUGAAGGCAUGCAAUUCCUGCAAUUUAUAGAAAUCAUGGUCAAGAUACUGGGAACAAACAAAGACCUCAUCAAACGGUUAGACUGGCACCAGAGGAAUCCUCUUCAUUACGCAGCUGCCUCGGGUAAUGUUAAAAUGGCACAACGCUUGUUAGAAGAAAGCAAACGGCUUGCAUAUAAACGGGACUGCAAUGGUGACACACCUCUUCACUUGGCCGCAGAGAAUGGCAAGCUGAAGGUCUUGAAACUUCUUAUCAACAAAUACCCAGAUGCUAUUGAGAUCCGCGACAACAGUGAUCGCAGCAUCCUCCAUGUUGCUGCUAAACAUGGAAAUUGGAAUAUCGUGUCAUUUAUUCUCAAGUCCCCUGAAAUGGAAAAUUUGAUUAACUUAGUAGAUAGAAAUGGAAAUACGCCGUUGCAUCUGGCUGCAAUGGGCUUGCAUAGCGAUGUGGUUUUCACUCUCUCCAGACAUAAGAGUGUGAACAUCAGGGCAAAAAACCGCAGCGCCAGAAACAAUACUGCUCUAGAAAUUGCUGAGAUAACUAGAGCCAAUGGAAAGGAGAUCCAAAAGGUACAUUCACUUUCUUUCGUACUCUUGUUAAGGCUAACAUGCACAAAUCGACAAGCUUGCAUAAUUUCUUGAAGAAUCCUUGAUAAAACAUUUAUUUUAAAAUUGAAUUAUUUAGCAACCAAACAAAAGCAUGGACAAAUAAUUAAUUAUUUAAUUAGAAUUCCAUAUUUGUGUCGGCCGAGGACAAAGCCUAAAACACAUAAGAGUUAGUACAACUAUUUAGAGAUUUAUAUCAAGGAUUUUGAUGUGUUCUAGAUUGUCCAUCCUGCUAAGGGAUCCCUCUCUUUAGCCUAACCGUCUAUUCUUCUUUGGGCAAGUUUGGGCAUUUUUAUUUUGGUUUUAGAAGAUAUAUCGUAGUUUCUCUAAAUUUUUCAAUUGUGGGGUUACUUGUGUUCCUUUAAACAACUGUAUAUAUAUUUACGUGCUCUGCUCUACUCAGCACUUGACAUUAAAAGCGCUGAAGACGGCCUACGCAAAACGGGCUCUGUCUGCGGAAGAACUCCAACAGAAAAGGCAGGUUUCUAAAGAAGAAGGUGAAAAAGGCAAAGAAAUGGCUCAAACACUCUCGGUGAUGGCAACAUUGAUAGCCACAUUCACAUUCACAGCAGCCUUCACAAUUCCAGGGGGCGUCAAAAGUGAUGGUCCCGACGAGGGCACGGCAACUCUGCUUCAUAGAGCAAGUUUCCAGGCAUUUGUGAUCACAGAUACCAUAGCCAUGACUUCAGCCAUGGCUGCAGCCGCCAUUAUAUUUUGGUCGUUUUGGAGAAGUAAAACUGAAUCACUUAUGGACACACUUCCUUUGGCCAUUGGCUUCACUUGGAUUGCACUCGUAUCAAUGACACUAGCAUUUGUGACGGGUUUGUAUGCCGUGUUGUCUAACAGUUUGGCCAUCACCAUUGCGGUUUGUGUGAUUGGUUGCCUAUUGCCCUUCAUUUUUUAUGUCUCUACUCCUUUCUUUAUGAUUGUAUUUGAUCAAACUGACGUCAAUCCUUUUGCGCUCGUUGUACGCUUCGUAAGAGAUGCUUUGUAAAAGCAUGCGUCUUACAAUAGUUUGUAAACUUGAUGCUCAUUAUUAUCUUGUUAAUCCUCAUAAACUCAUCUACUUCCAUCACUUGUUCACUUUUCGAGAAAGAAAAAUGAGUGUUUGGCAAGCAAGAAAGUUCUAGAAACUAAAGGAAAGUUUGAAGAGAAGUUCUGGAAACAAUGCUCAAAUCUGUUAUAGAUCAGAAACUAAUGAGAAUGACUACAACCUAGCUUAUAUAGUAACUCUAAUGAAUCUAACAAAUUGAUCAUAGAAGGUACUAGACUAUUCUACAAAGUAAAUAGUUUGUCACAAUUGCAGCUGACAUGUAUAACUAAUUUUGACAUGUCUGCAGCUAAGAUUUAUUCAACUAUUUGACUACUGAGUGAGCUUGUGGUGCUCUGCUUUCUCUGUUUCACACAUGCUAACAUCCCUCCUCAAGCUGAACUAUUCAGGACGAAUGUUCAGCUUGGUUCUGAGAUAAUGAAACUGUCCAUAAGUCAAAGCUUUAGUAAGUAUGUUGGCAGUCUGAUCAGCACUAGGAACAAAACAGACUAUGUUUUGAUUAGCUCGAACUUUUUUAUGAAUUAAAUGUAUAUCCAGCUCAAUGUGUUUGGUUUUGGCAUGAUACACUGGAUUUGUAGCCAAAAAAAUUGCUCCUUGAUUAUCACACCACAUAAUUGGUGUAUGAUCGAUUUUGAGCUUUAAUUCAAUGAGCAAAGCUUUAAUCCACAGAACUUCCUAUCAUCUUUGUCACAUUCCCAAUCUGAAUCUGUAAAGUGAUUAACCUGCUAACUGACAUUAGAAGAGAACUAAAGCCCAUAAUGAAUUGUCCCCUUCAAGUACAUAAGUAGUCUUUUGCAUGGCUGUAAAUGCUCAUUUGUUGGGGCUAAAAGAAAUUGAAUUGACUUGUUCACUGAAAUGUUGUUUCAGGUCUUGUCAAUGUUACAUGUUGCAAUGCCCCUAUAGUACUUCUAUACUAAGAGGCAUUUGAGAUAAUAGUUCCUAGGUUUUUAGUAAGAGAAUGAGAUGUAACCAUUGGAGUUGGUUUUGGACUGCAUGUGUUCAUACCAUGUUUGACCAGCAAGUCAGCUAUGUAUUUACUUUGUGACAAGUGAGCUUUCCUUGCUUUUGUUAACUUCUAUGCCAAGGAAAUAAUGAAAGCUCUCCUAAGUUUGUUAACUUCUAUGCCAAGGAAAUAAUGAAAGCUCUCCUAAGUCUUCACGAGCAAAUGUGUCUUGUAUAGCAAAUAUCACUUUUAAUACACUUUGAGGAUUAGAUCCAGUGAUAAUAAAAUGUCAUCAACAUAGGCUCAUACCAGCAAAAUGUGACCAGCAUCCCAUCUAUAAAACAAAGAAGAAUUUAGCUUUGAAGGCUUAAAGUUCCAUCACUACAAAAAAAGUGAUCUAUUGUGAUGGAAAAAAAUUGUCUCUAUAUAUAUAAAAUCUGUCACUAAAUAAAUUUAGUGACAGACUAUAUGUCGUUGUUUAUGUGUCGCACUUGCCACCGUCACUAAAACAUAUAGUGACAAUUAGUAAAUAGUCGCAAGUAUUAUGUGUCACUAAUACACAUCUUAUAGUAACAAAUAUAAGUUUAUGAUAAGUAAGGACAGAAGCAAAAAUCUGUCACUAAAAGCAUAUUUUUAGACAUAUAAAUCUGUCACUAUUUUUAUACUAGGGGCUAUUAAUGUGUCACUAUGUUGAUACUAGUGACUGUUAAUGUGUCGUUAUUUAUAUAGUUGGGGAUAAUUAAAUUAGUCAUUGAUGAUCAUUAUUGACAAUGAAAUGUGCACUAUAGAUUCAAUUAGUGACAAUUUAUUCAGUCAUUACCAAAUUAAAUAUGACACUUGAAUGUAUUGUUAUUAGUAUAAUUAGUGAAAAUUAAUUUAGUCGAAAUGAUCUCAAUAGUGAUGUAAAAUUUUGUCUCAAUGAAUAUAUUAGCGACAUCAAAUCAGUCAUUAUAUAUCUAAAUUAGUAAAUUUUGUAACAAUUUAUUCAGCAACCAAUAAUGUAAAUAGUGAUCUAUCUAAUAAAUUUGUCACUAAUUAAUCUUAGAGACAAUUUUUGUUGCGACAUUUAUAGUUCAUAAAGUAAUUUAGCAUAAAUAAUAUAAUUUGAGGAAACUAAAUCAAGAAAAUUAUUAACAAAUGCAUAGUAUAGUAACAAAAAUAAUCAUUUUACUCUACGAGUAGUUGCAGAUGACUGAUUUAGAUUAUUAUAUCCUGGGUCAUCAGAUGUGGGUUUCCAUCGAGAUGCACCACAUAUUGAACAAAAAGAAUCAUGCUCAUUUUCUUUCCAAUAUAACAUACAGUCAUUAGGACAUGCAUCGAUUUUUUUGUACCCGAAACUUAAGCCACCAAUAAUCUUUUUGGCAUGAUAAAAAGAUUUGGGCAAAGUUUCCCCUUCUGGUAAUGCUUCUUUUAUCAACUCAAGAAGCAUUGUAACUGCUUUAUCACUUAGUCUAUUAAGGCACUUAAUGUGAAAUAAGCGAACAAUGAAAGAAAAUUUAGUGAACCUUUUGCAUCCUGGGUAUAACUCUUGCUCAGCAUCUUCUAACAGUUUAUAGAAUGUCUGAGCAUCAUGAUUAGGAACUUUAUUACACUCACCCAUCAUGUCAUUAGGACCACUGUCAUGGUCACUAACAUCAUAAUUAGGAAUUCUAAAGGCAUCAUGUAGCAUGUCAUGCAUAUUGGUUGUCUCAUUUACUCCUUCAUUAUUCACAGUUGUUUGCCUUUUUUAAGCUCUCCGUGGUAAAUCCACUUGUUACUAAGAUAAUCAGUGCCUACUCCAAAACAUAUCAUAUGUCCAUAAAUAGUAUCUCUAUCAUGACGAUAUCUAUUACUACAUUUCUUACAUGGACAUUUUAAUCUCCCAUCAUUAGUAGUAUUUUCAAAUGCAAAUUUCAAGAAUCCAGAAACUCCCAAUUUGAAUGCUGGACUUGCCCUAGACUCGUGAAUCCAACUCUUAUCCAUUAUAUAACUGAGAAUUCUAGUAGACAAUCUUGAAUUGAAUAUGAAUAAAAUAAUAAAAUUAUAAUUGUUGAAAAUAAAACAAGUAAAAAUGGAUAUUUUUGACAAAAGAGCAAUGUAUCUAAUUACUAAGUAGCAUUCCACAUGUAAUAAUGAAACGAGUAUUACAAACAAAAUUGUUAGAGAACUAAAUAAAAAAGAAAAAUCGUAGUAAAAUUAUACAUACUUUAAACUGUAAAUAAAUAAAUAACAAGCUAGACCAAGAAAAUCAAAGAAUAUCAAUAACGCCAUAAGUGAAAUUCACAUGAUCUAUAGAUGAGCCAUUCAAUUGAGCAACUAAUUAUAAAAGAAUUAAACUAAAAGUUAUGAAGUUUAGAUAUUUGCCAUAAAGCGAAUUAACAUCAAGUCCUUUAACCUUUUUUUUUUUUUUUUGGUAAUUAGCAGAUACAAGUGCUAAAUAAAAUAGUAAACUUCAUAACUUUUUUGUUCAUAUUAUGUUAUUUGUCUAAUGCUUAUCUUGAUUUUUUUUAUCUAACAUUAUUUUCAGGAAUUUUUUAAUAUGCCUAAAUUGUGGUCAAUCAAUUUCUACUAGUAAGUGUAAGUUAUUGGCAGGUUUUCUUAAUUGAUUAGAUAAAUUAUUUGGCUAUUAAUUUUGACAAUUGUAUAAGGAAAAAAGUAAUAGGUGAUAUAUUGGAUUAAAUUUAUAUUGGAAAUAUAACAUCAAAUUAAAUUUAUAUUGGAAAUAUAACAUCAAUUCUAGUAUAGAAAUGUAAUAUUUUAAUGUUGUUCAUUUCAAAAGUCAGGCAUAACUUUUUGAUUCUAUAUGCAAUAUCAAAUAAGAUUUAAUGCCACUAGUUCAUUUCAAAAGUCAGGCAUUACUUAUUAAUACUAUAUGCAGUAUCAAAUAAAGCAACAUAAAAAGAUUCACUUUCAAGCCUUUUGUUCUUUUAGGUAUUGGUUAGUAAAGAAGGAUUCACAAUAAAAACUUAAACUAGGUGAAAAUGAUACAUGCCCUAUAAAUAACAUAUAUAAAGAUUAUUGCAUCUGAACAAAAUUUAUUAACAAAAAUAAAACACUUACAGAUAAGAAGUGCUUUGAAGAAUGCUUAAUCUAGGACCAACUUCUUCUUUAUUAACACCAUUUUAACUGGAUAAACAAUGUAAUUCCCCACCAAUGAAUUAAUAAUAAAGAAAUAAGCAUCAAUUUAAAUUAAUAGAAAUAGGAUCAUCAUAAAGAGUUAAAAUAAAUUAAUUAUAGUAAAGAAUUCAAGCAGUCCCAAAGCCUUCAAAUGCUUUGAUUAUAUAUAUAAAACAGUGAAAUUCUUUUGUUCAAGUAAAUGUAUAUUAAAGGAAAUUCAAGUAAUAUUUCUUCAAAUAUGCAAACAUGAUCUCUAGAUUAGAUGUCAAUUUCAGAUUUUUAUAGGAAAAAAUUCUAGUAAGUAAUUAAUGGACUUCAAUAAUAUAGCAAAAGGAACCACUGAAGGCUAGAAAAAUAAAUAAAUUAGCAUUUUGACCCCCUUUAAAAAAUACUUUUUGAUUCUCGUUUACACCUCCAAAUUAUUGUCCUAUUAGGCUUUUAAAAAAAUUAUGGAUUAGUUGUCCACCAAGUAAGAAAAAAAUUAAAUUUGUUUUGCUAGACAAGAAUAUGUCCAAUCACCACUCUAACAAGCCAAAUCAACCUUUACACACCUCCCAACUGAUUUAUUUAUAUCAUUAAAUCACAUGAGAAAACAUAGAAGAGUUUGGGACAAUUAGACAAUGGCACACUACAUCUCUUCAAAAGUUCUCCAACCACACUUCUAGAAAUAAUGAUGCAAUUAAGAUAAGAACACCAUAUACUGCAAUAUCCUUUAUAUUACUUGUAGUGAGUACACGAGCCUAUUUCUUCUAAUCAAAGCUUUCUAUUCCCUUUUUGUAUGAACACUAACUUCUUGACCAUAAAACUUUAUUAUUGGUUUUUAGGUUUUUACGUUUGAAAAGUUUAUUGGAAUUCAAUUUUGAUUGUGUAUUGGACUUGUGUAAUCUAAUUGUCAAAUCAUCUUUUUGAUGGUGUCUACUUUGCAUGUUCUCAAAGUAGAAAAGACACAUGGUAGAGAAAUUAAUCCUUGGUCAUUACAUGCAUAUAGUUCCAGAGAAGAAAAAUGAAAAUCACAUAAAAUUCAAACUGAAACUAUAAAAUAUUGAGUAAAAUCACAUUAAUCCCAAAAUGGAACUAAAUAAUAUAUAAGUUAUCUUUUGCAAGAUGUAACAUGCUGAACCAAAGACCAACUAUUUGGGAUAAUUUCAUCUAAUUUCAAUUUUUAAACUAGAACAUCAAAAUACUCCAAUUAUAAAUAAUACCAAACAAUCAUGCUAUAUGAAACCAAGAAAAAUCUGCAUUAACGGUUAACUAGGGACAAAUAAAGGAUAUGUCUACUCAACACUAUUAUUAUGGUCCAAGAACACUAAGGUUAUACUCUACAAUACCACUGAAGAUAACCCAACAUAAAUCAAACAUUAUUUUAAACAAUCCCCAUAUUUUCAAUCCUUCUCUUUCCUUUCCCCUCCCAUUGGAGAAAGAAGAAGAAGAGAAAGGGAAGAAUAAAAGAAUAAUAAUCAUAUGUAGGCACAAUUAAUUCACUAAAAUUUGUUUUGUUUUACUAUUAUAUGAGAACUCACAACAAAAAUAAGUACUCUUAAGAUAGAAAGAAUUUUGGAUAGCUUGUAAGAAUUUCCAAAAAAUAUAAAUUCAGCAUUAAAAAGAAAUAUAAAGUACAAAUUUAAAUAAAUUUAGUGUUUGAGACUGUUGCAACUUACCGAUUGUAAAAUAUAAAAACAAGAUCUUGCUGUCAAUUGCAGAAUAUCUAUUAAAAUCAACACCCAACAACAAAAUUUUAGCAAGUAGAAUAACAAACUUAGUGGAUGAUUAAAAAGAACAAAAAAUAAAGGCAAUAAACCAUGACUUGAUUACCUUGCUGCUCUUAAAACUAAGAGCUGAGCAAAUUGAAGCUUUAGAUUACUGUGGAAUGACAAAAAAAAUUGAUGGGUUUUUUUGUGAAAGGAUGGAGGCAAGAAAGUAGAAUUGCCGUAGGGUUUGUAAUUGACAAAUUAAAAUAAAAGGGUGAAAUUCGAUUGGGAUAAGGAAAGAAAAUAAGAGAAAUCCAUAUUUGAUUAGGUUUCAAAAAAAUUGAUGGUUUUGAAAUUGGAUUAUAAUACGGAGAUAGAAGAAUCAGUGCCCCAAUUAGGGAUGAAGAGUGUUUUGGGGAAAAAAAUACGCAUGAGUUGUGACAUAAUUAAUUUAUAUUAUUGACAGGGACGAUUGUAUUGUGUCUUAAAACAAAUAAAAUUAAGUCUUUUUAAUUUAUUGCGACACAAAUAAUAGAUAUUGUCCCUAAAAGAUUAAGUAUUAUGGCGCCAAACUAAUGCGCGAAAAAUUUUCUUAAAGAUUAGUGACAAAUGCUAACAUUUGUCCCAAUUUACCAUAAAUAUGGACAAAUAUUUUAAUCUGUCACAAAGUUUUUAUCCCUAAAAGUCAUUUUUUUUUUAUAGUGCAUUGAGUUGUCAUUGCACUCUUGAAUUUAUCAAAACAAGCUCUAGGUGCCUAUUUGAGACCAUACAAUGCCUUUUGUAGCUUACAUACAUGAUGAGGUUUAGAAAGGUCAACAAAACCCUCUGGUUGUGACAUGUACACAACUUCAACAAGGAUGCCAUUGAGAAAGAUAUUAUUAACAUCAAAUUUUCUAAUAACUCAUUUGCUCAUCACUGUUGAACUCAGAAUUAUUCUCACUAUAGAAGCCUUAAUAACAUGGCUAAAGGUUUCAGUGUAAUUUACACUAUAAGCUUGAUAAAGACCUUUUGCAACAAAUCUAGUUUUGUACCUUGAAAUUAAGCCAUCUGAGUUUAUUAAUUCUGAAAACCCACCAUCUUGAAUAAUGUUAUUGGCUGCACUAUAAUCUAAGUAUGAUUGUUCUAAAGAGCAUUAAACUCUUCUUGCAUAGCAUUAAACCAUUUUGGAUCUUAUAACACUUGAGUUAUUGAGGUUAGUUCGGUUGGUUAAGCUAAAAGGGCAGUAAGAUAGGUUUUAGGUUUGAAAAUGCCAACCUUAAACUUAGUAAUUAUAAGAUGACCAGGAAACUAAAAAUGAGGUAAAUGAUAAUCAAGAAAUGAAUGUGAAAAUAUACUGAUGAUUAGUGAAUUUGGUGAGUUAUAAUUUGAGUGAGAAAUAGGAGAAUCAGAAUGUGAAGAUGUAUUGGUGAUUAGUGAAUUUGAUGAGUUAUAGUUUGAGUCCAGUAUAAGAGGAUUAUAACGUAGUGGAGAAGAGAAUAUUUAUUAUGAUGAUUAUUGUGAAAGACCUUGGGAAUCAGUUGAUACAUGGGGUGUUUGAAGGACUUGUAUCACAGAAUUUGACACUUUAUUGUCAGAACGUGACAAACAUGAAUCAAAGAUAGAGGAGAAAUCAACACCUGACUUAUAGGGAAAGGAUUUUUCAUCAAAAGUGACAUGAUUAGAAAUGUAAACUCUCCAGAAGAAUGCAAACAUUAAUAACCUUUAUGAUGUGGAUUGUAACCUAUUAAAAAUACAUCUUUAUGUCGUAAAUUCAAGUUUUUGUUUGCUAUAGGGCUUGAGAUAAGGGUAACGGGCACAACGAAAUACCCUAAGAAUAGAGUAGUCUCAUUUUUUUUUUUAAGUUUGAAAUAAAGUGAAAUGUUAUUCAAAACAAGAGUAGGCAAUCUUUAUAUAAGAAAAAUAGUAGUGUGAAAUGCAUUCCACUAGAAGCUAAGAGGCGAAUUGGAUUGAGCUAACAAGGUUAGCCCAAUAUCAAUUAUAUGCGUAUGUUUUCUCUCUAUUUUUCUAUUUUGAUUAUGGAUAUGAGGACAAGGAUGCUUGAAGUGAAUAUCAGAAGUAGUUAAUAAGGAAGAAAAAAAUAUGCAUUCACCUCCCAAUCUGUUUGAACUGCUUUUAACAUUUUAUCAAGAUGCUUUUUACUUAAGGUUUUAGAGGUAGUAAAAACUUGUAAAGAAUCAGAUUAGUUGUCAAUGGAAAAAUCUAUGUGAACCUGUUAUAAUCAUCUAAGAUUGAUAAAUUAUAGUUGUAACCUUGAGUAGAAAUAAUGUGUGAAAGCCCCCAAAGAUUAGCAUAAAAUAAUCGUAAUGGUGUUGUUGUUUUAGUAAUAACAGAAUCAAAAUGUUUAAGAUGAUUCUUGCCAUAUUGACAAGCAUUACAAAAGCUAAGAUCCACAGUUUCAUUAAUACUAGCAAAUACAUUACAACUCGUUAUAACAUUUUUCAGUGUGUGUGGAGCUGGAUGAUCAAAUCUCUGAUGAAGUAGAUUGAUAUAAAAAAGGAAUACAGACAUUGAUAAGACAACUUGAUUACAUGACUUAUUAAUAGCAGUAAAUGCAACUGAACUAAACACAUUAAAAUUAGAAAAAGUAGCAAAGAUGGACACAAGUUUAUUGUAAAGAUCUUGACAAAACUGAAUUAAAGAGCCUUCACUUGACACUUGAGGAGAAGAAGAAAUUUCUUGAAUAUGAUACAAGCCCUCUUUAGCUAACCCUCCAUGCAAAAGGAUUCAUAUUUUCCUGCCAUUAAUAAAAUAGAAAAUUUCAACAAAUUCAACAAUAACAUCAUUAUCAAUUAAGAGUUAUGAGAUACUUAAUAAUUUUUUAGUAAUGUCUAGAUUAUAAAGGACAUGAUUGAGAAGUAAUGAGUCAUGUAUUAAUGUAACAAGCAAUACAGAUCCAACAUGUUUAAUUUGCAAUGCAUUUCCAUUUCUAACAAGCAAUCAUUAUGAUCCAAGAUAAGGUUUUAGAUCAAAGAGGUUACCUGAGUCAUUUGUGAUAUGACCUAAAGCUUUAGCAUCUAUAUACCAAGAUGGAUCCUCUGUUGCUUCUAGAGAAUGAACAGCUUGAGAAGUAAAAGGUGGGUUGAAUUUUGGAGCAUGAUUCAUCCAUUGUAGAAAUUAAAAGCAAUAUGAUGAUUGGGAUAAGAAGUGUAUAAGCCAUAUGAGGUUGAUGAAGAACUAAUACCAAUUAUAACACCCCAAAUUCACUCAAGAAUCGCAAGAGAAAUUUGGAAUGAAACCUUACAGCGUUAAUCUUAUUGCAAUUCUCAAAAGAAAAUUAUUAUUAGCCGUAGUUGAAACAUAGUCUCUAAAAUAAUAAAUAUAACAGUAAUCCCCCAAACUAAAAAUUCAGGUCUAAAUAAUAACCAGAGUCACAACAAUUUAUACAUUAGAAAAUGCCAAAACUUUUCAGCUAAAAAAUUCUCUUCUCUAGACAAAAAAGACCCACAUCUCUAAAAUCAAUCUGCAAAAUAUUAGAGAUAAGGGGUUAGCCGUCAACUUGGUAAGCAAACUCAUGCAUAAGAUUACUAAUAACGAUAAUGUACAUGAUAAUUAUUUUCAAGUACCAUAAGUUAAAAAUCAAUAAUCAUUUUAUAAUCUAAUACACAUGUACAAUAAAACUCAUAAUCAGUUAAAUCAUAACGUAAUAAUCAUUUUCAAUAAAUAAUCAUUAAAGAAAUCAUUUAUCAAUAAAACUUUUUCAUAUGUUCAAUUGCUCAUGCCAUAAAGUGUCACUUGUAUUCCCAAUGACCCGACUAGUAGUUCAAUAAAUCACUUUAACCCCAGUGACCCGAUCAGUAGUUCAGUAAGUCACUUUAACCCCAGUGACCCGGUCAGUAGUUCAAUCAAGGUAUGUUACCUUGUAAUAAUUGUCAAUAAAUGAACACAAUGUAGCUAGCUGUUCCGCAAUAUCAGUAACGGUAAUGAUGGACAAUUAGGCAAAACCUUAAACACAAUUUUCAGUGUUUCAAUAAUUGUUCUUCUAAGAUCAAUUAAUGAAAAGACAAGUAUUUUAAAGUAGUUUUUAAAAUAAAUUUAAGAAAACAUUGUAAGUAAGUUUUUAGUCAAUAUAAAACUUAUUACCACAAACUAUAACGGUAAAAUUACUUUGAUAUAAUAAAAUGUCAAUCCACAAGAAAUCCAUUAUUCUUUUCAUAAAUAUUUGCCUAUAUACUUAUAAUAAACAUUAUGCAUGAAUUCACUUAUCUCGAUUCAAAGCAAACAAUAAUAACCCCAAUCAUACGAGCUCACUCUUAUCAUAUAAUUAUCAAGAUAAGAUUCUUGUUAGUAUUUUACUCAAUUUUGACCUUGAUAAGAAAACCCAAAAACCUUAAACCAUGUACUCUUACUUAAGCACAUUAAUUCACUAAACUAGACUAUACCAUCUUGCAGGAGUUGAUUUCUAACAAGUUAUAACUAUGUCAGAAAAAAUCAUAAAUAUUAUACAAAGCUACUUCAACAUGUUGACAUUCAUUAAAACAAAUUAAUAAGAUUAAUUAGAGUUCAUAAACAUCUAUUAAUUAGAGUUCAUAAACAUCUCUGAAAUUGUUUUUCCGUAAAAACACCAAAAUUUUCUGGUGAUGAUAAAAAAACAGAGGACUGUUGAUUCAAAAUUUAAUAACUUUCGUUAUACAUGUUCAAAAAUAGUUAUUCAAGUUUUGACGAUUAGAGGAAACAAUAAGGAAUUAAAAUUUAUAAGGCAGUUACUAAAGAAAAAGUAACCCAAACUGACUUCAAUGUCAAUCCUAGCAAUUCUAGAAGGCAAUUUUUAGGAUUACGACAGCCUAACUCUAUGAUUUUUAAAUAAAGCUAAAAAUUACGAAUUUAAAUAUACAUAAACUAGACAUAUAUAUGUACAAUAUAAAAUUCCCAAAAUUUUCAAAAGUCGUUUGAGUUAGAAAAUAAAUUAUAGAAGUGGGAACUACUGCUGAAAAUCAGAAUUUUCUAGCACUAAUGUACAUUUGAAAAAUCAAAACAAUUUAUAUACAAUGAGUUUUUGAAUGAUAAACAUACAUAUAGAAAGAUAAAGAUGUGUAGUUUAAUAAACUAUAAAGUUUUAUGCAUGUGACUUAAUGAAGACAGCAGUCUUAUAUUUUAUUACUAUUUUUGCAAUCUAAAAAAAAGUUGUUAUUCAAAUAAUUUUUUUUUCGUUGAACUUGUUAAAAGGUCAAGUCGUCACAUUCUAAAUUGAAGAAGUAGUUAAGGACAUCCCAAGACACUUUUGAGUCAUUAAUAAUUCUAUGAAAUGAGAGUUAUCGUGGCAUUUUAAAGCUUAAAUCAAGACUACUUAGAAAGUAAUUGAUGUGUUUUAGUGCACUUUAAUAAUAGUUUGCAUUAUAUUCAUUUUAGUUUAAGUUUAAUAAAGUUUAUGUGAUUUUUUAAUAAUUGUAUACCUAAAACAUAUGUUUAACUGUAGGUCAAUGUAAACUUGAAAUUUAUGAAAAAAAAAUCUUGUUGCAAUAGACUUAUAAAGAGGACAAACGAAGCAUGGUUGUAGAAGAAUUGGAGCAAGUCGGGAACAGUGAAGAUGUUGUGGCCAUUGUUGUAUCAACCAUUACUGAAGCAAUUCUCGAGCAUUGACAGAGAAAAAUUCGGGCAAGAUAUUUAGAAUAUUGUGAUCUGCAGUUUCCUAAUCUGAAGAUGCGCGCCCUAAAGUUUCCAGUUACCCUAAUUUGCGAUUAUAAAAGGAGGCGUACAUAAAAAGAAAAGAAAGAAGAGGCCGUCAAUCAAGAUAAAAAACAAAAAAGAAGCAGAAUUACCGAUCAAAAUUCAAGGCUGCACCAGUAGAAGAAAUUAGCAAAAUCAAUUAGAAUUCGCUUUUUCUCAUUCUUUUCUUGUUUACUUGUUACUCAUUAAUCAUGCUAGAACUUGGUUGUUUAUUUUUCUUUCACAAAUUAUGAACUAAAUUAAUUUUUGGUUGAAUGUUAAACUAUCUUGAUGGUUGAUUGACUGAAUAUAGGUGUUGCUGCAUGUUUGCUAUAGCAUUUUGCUUUAAUAACAUUUAUUUACAUUCAUUAUUUCGGUUGACCACUCAUUUAAUUAUACAAGUUAAGAAAGAGCCGCAAAAUGGCCUAUCUUAAUGGAACAUAUUAGAGCAAUACUUGGUCCUAAAUUGAGUUUCUUGGAUUGAGUUUAACUUGAGCCAAAAAGGGUCGUGCUUAAUUUAAGAUUAGUGAUGAACUAGAUAUGGAGAUUCACUUUGUAGGGUAAAGAGAACAUAAACGUGUAAUGUUAUAUCUUAUGUUGACAUAACAACUGAUCAUUGUUAGGUUGCAUAAAGAUAUAAGACAUCCAACAUGCUACCGCUAAGGAUAAAGAUGGUUUCUGCUUAGUGUUGUAGCAGAUGUUGCAGCAAUUGAACCUAACAUGAAUAAAACAGUCAACACCAUCAAGAGAGUUUAAUCACUCAACUACUUCAUUCCUAUUGAUUUAACCCUUGUGUUUAACGUGCAAAUUUUAUUUAUUGCAAAAUUUUUAUUAUUGUGAUUUUAUUUUUCUUAAGUAUUUAGUUGUGUUGGUUGCAUUGAUUUAUCUUAGAGCAUAGAUUGCACUAUUGAAAUUAUUGUAGCAAGUCUGAUAACAUCAAUCCCUAUGGAGACGAUCUUGAAUACUCAUCAUUUUAUUACUUUUUGUAUACACUUGCACAUUAACACCAUAGCAAUUAAAGUAAAAUCUAUCAACAGUCAUCAUGGACAAAAAUCCAUGCUUUAAGAUUAAGACUUCACUAGAGAGGAGUUUAACUAUGGUACAACAUGAUUUUAAACCAUCAAUUUUCAAAGAGUUGAGAGGAUUUGUCGAAUGAAUGCACUCAUUAUGAUACUUGAUGAGUCUAAACAAGUUGAUUCUGUCGGUGUAGAUGCUUUUGCUUAUGGAUGUAUAAUAUAAUAAACUCACAGGCUUCUAUGUGCACACAAGAUUUCAUAGUACAAACGUGAAGGUCGGCCUAUUCCUUUGUCUUUUUUUCAUUCUCAUUGGAAGAAUGUAGACCUACUGCAAGUCAAUCAAGAUGAAUAAAAAACAUUGUAUUGCAUGCCAAAGAUAGAGAUUAUUAUAAAGCUUUUCAAUGAUAGUGAUGAUCUAGCUAAGGUUCAAUUAUUAAAAAAGUUAAAGGAGCUUACAAAUCCAGCAUCGACUUUUUUUCUUAAGCCAGAGGUUAAGGGCAAAACACGCGGUUGCUCUUCUUUAAAAGUAGAUACAUCUAAUCGUAGAAAUCCAUCUAAAUUUGAGUAUGUCUUAUUUAAUGAAGAUGGAAAAUCUAUACAUGCUAUAUCUUCUAGUACACUUUCAUUGCAAUUGAAAAAACAACAAAAGGAAAAUGUUUGUCAAUCACAACCAUUGAAACCUAUUCCUUUCAUUGAUUUGUUUCCUUAUGGAAUAAUACCUUUUAUACGAGCUAAGAAAGAUGUUGCUACCAAUGGUAAUUGUGGCUUUCGAGCUAUGGCUGAUUUGAUAGGCAUUGGUGAGGACAAUUAGGCUAGGUAAGAAGAGACUUAGUAGAUGAAUUACAAUGUCAUUAUAAUGAGUACACUCUUUUGUUAGGCUAUGCUGGUAGAUAUCAAGAGCUCUUGCAUUCACUUUCAUUUUUUGGGCCCAACCCGAGAUAUGAUCAUUGGAUGAUCAUGCCUAACACUAGGUAUCUUAUUGGUUCCAAAUAUAAUGUUAUAGCGUUACUGAUAUCUGUACAACAAUGUCUUACAUUCCUUCCAUCGAGAUCUAUUCCAGGGCCACGCUCAUCUCAUAAAAUUAUAGCAAUUGGCUAUAUUUAUGGUUGUUGUUUCAUUGAGAUGUGAACAAAAUAUUUAAGAAAUGUACAAUAAUAAUUUUAAUCUAUUGAUUGAUUAUGUAAUUAUGUUAACAAUGAUUUAAACUUUAUGCAGGUUUUUAUGCAACCAACCACCAAUACCACCAAUAACAACUAAAUGGUUUAAAUAUCAUCAUCAAUGUGUCGUAGGUUGGACAACUUUGUAUACGACUGAUAUAAUGGCUUUUAGAGAGUUAGUGCCUAAUGUUGCCACUCGAGAUACGAUAGAUUUGAGUAGCCAAUAAAUUAUCAUAUGACACUACAAUAUUUAAUAAAUAGAUUCUUGAAUAUUUAGACUUCUUAGAAAAUAUUUUUAAUAUUUUGUAAUUAUUUGCUAGAGUUAUAAUUCAAAAGUUUUUCUUUUCAUUGCUUUGGUGUUGAUUUGAUUUGAUUUUCAUUUUCAAAUUAGUAAGUUGAACUUGAAUUUGAGCAUGUUUGGGAGUGGAAAUACGAAAUGAAAAGUCAACUUAGAAUUUUCAUGGAUUGUUAAAUGCUUGACAUGUAAGGGGCUUGUGAUAUCAAAGGAAUUACGAAGUGAAGGCUUCGAUAACAUGUUGGCUUAUGAGCUGUCAACAAUUAAUUUUUUAAGUUAAAACAAAAAAAAAAUCUAGAAAAAGAAAAUAAAAGAAAAUAUUAUAAAUAUUAAAUAGAUAGGGGCAUUUUUGGUAUUUAUAGGAUAGAUUUACAAAAUAUAUUCAUUUUAAUUUAUUUAUUUUUAAUCGGAUGGGCUAAUUCAUGGGGUGGUUUUACAGAAAGCAAUGGGAGAAAUAUCAUUACCCCAUUUUAAAUUAUUAAUAUUAUUUUUAGACUUUUUUUUCUUUAGUGAGGCGGAGGCCAAGACAAGACAACUGGGCAUGUGCAACUGGCUCAUUCAUCGAGUGGGUGGGGUUGAAGUUUGAACGCGGCAAUAUGAGUCAACUCAAUCAAUUCAUUUCCUUUAUAUUCAAGAAACAUUUGAGAUUCUCCGGGUCGAGGCCAACCCGACUCCGCCUGCUCUUCUUCUUCGCCCUAUUUUUCUUUCAAAGGUAUGUUUUCAUUUUACCUUUUUUUUUUCCUCAGUUAGUUUGCAUUUUUAAGCAAAAGUUUGAACUUGGUAUCAUCUUCAAUCUUCUAAUAAGCUUUGUUAACUCAGUUUUUUGGAAAAAAUAAAUGGUUGUUAUCCAUGAGGAAAGUUCUCCAAUGUUUCUAUGUACUGUCUCUUGACCAUCUGCAACCAGUGACCAAAUCAAAAUCUUUGAUUUGAGGGUUAUUUUGCUAUAACUAAUAACUAACAGAGGUUACAGUAUAAUAAAGACUACUUUAGAGGAUAACUUUGUAUGACGUGGAGGGGUCAUUUUGUGGUUAAUGACGUUUAACAGGGGCCAAAAUACAAAUAAGAUAUCAAUAUUUUUGCUACAAAAUUGAGGGAGGUUUAGUUCAUAAUCAUUGAUCAUUGAUGGUUCUGUUCUGUUUUUAGUUUUAAUUUGUAAUAACAAACUUCUAUCAUAUAAUUUGAUCUCAUUCACUUAAGUCAAUAUAGAGUUGGCUCAAUCUGACCAAAAUAAAACUCUAAUGUUAAUUAUAUAAUGUCUGGUUAUGGUUUGUUGAAGUUUAAGUGCUUUUUUAAUUUAAGUUAUUUGAUUGAGUGAGUACUUAAUAUGAUACUGAGGAGUUUUAUGGCGGCUGAAUUUGGUACAAAUUACUAAGGAUUGACCAUGGAUAUAGAAUUACGAACCAUCAACCAAGAAUUACUCAAUGUAUUAAGACGUGGGGAUGAGCAUCAAAUCAGGCUACUUGCAGGUCGAAUGCAAAAUAUUUUCAGCACAAUGAGUCCCCAAGCCAACACAGUACUUCAUAUGGCUAUCAGAUUUCGAAACCAUAAAGUGAGACCGGAGAUUCUCAGGCAACAUGAUUCACUUGUCCAUAAUAGCAACUAGAAGGGUGAGACUCCAUUGCAUAUAACUGCGAGGUUUGGUGACCCUGCUAUCGUUAGUACAAUCUUGUAUUAUGUGCCGGCCAUUGUAAUGGAACAGAAUCAAAACCGAGAGCCUUUUAAUGAUGACAGACAAUGAAGGCAACACUCCUCUGCAUGAUGCUGUAAGAAACAAACAUGAGAAAGUUGUUCGGAUGCUGGUGAAAACUUUUAACUCAAAUUUACAGAGAAUGUUACAAGCUUCAAAACAAGCCUAAAUUCACUACUUAAUUAGUCCUCAAGUAUUCAAAUGAGAUCUUGUACAGCUUAUAAACCCAGUUUGAUCAAACAUAGUCAACCAAAUCUGUUAGCCACGUCAGCAUCUUUUUGCAGCAUUUCCCCGCUAAAAUUGGGGAAGGAAAUGGCACCCUGAUCAGAAUUUACGAAGUGAGACCCGAAAGUUUACUAACUUGUCAAAUACAUCCCCGCUUCAUAAUAUUGAAUCAUACUCAACAUCGUGAAUUAAGUUUUUUUUAAAUUAGAUUUAUUUUUUAAAAAAUCAAAACAUGAAAAAAAAAUCAGUAAAGAACUAGAAAAUGAGACAAAAAAAUGUUAGUUGUGAACACGAUGCUUGUAGUGCACGCGUUUACCAAGUUGGGAACACGAUGCUUGUAAGUACACGCGUUUACCAAGCUUACACAUUCUACAUAAUAUUUUAAAUAAUUGCAUUUUGAGACUUAUCUUUUGUUAAAUAUGUAUAUUUUAUUCAAAAUAAGGUUGUCGUGUUACUUAAUAUGUGUGUUUUCUACUUAUUUAUAGACACAAUUCUAAUACAAAUAUAUAUAAUAAAUUUAUAAUUUAGCACGAUAUCAAUUGCAUAACAAAAAUUUACACAAAUUUACAUCCACGGUUAACGUGACAUUUUUUUUCCACAAAAAAAAAAGAAAAGAAAAUGAAUGUGAACAUGAUAUUUGAAAAUUGUUGACUACGAAUUCUAUAACUUCUUUUUAAUUAUAGGAAAAUUAUCAGCCAUAUACCCUUAAAUGACACCCGUAUCAAACGUGUAUGAACAUUUUUCAAGUGUAUCACUCGUAUACCCUAAGUUGACAAAAUAUUUCUGUCAUCCACCAAUCCGUUAACUUCCGUUAGAAAGUUAACAAAAUUAUGGCAAAUUGACUAUUUUGCCCUUGAAACUCAAAAUGAGGUAAAAAGAUAAAUUUACUCAAAAAAUUAACGUAAAUUUUCAAUACAUAUUUUUUUUUAUUUUGUUAUUAACAAUACAUUUUUAUAUUAAAAAAUGAAUUAUUAAUGGUACAUAUUAUUAACCAUUAUCCAUAAAAAAAAAUCCAUAUUAUACUAUAAAAAUUUAUUAACAACAUAUUAUUUACAAUUAUACAUAUUAUACCAUAAAAAUUUCCAAUUGGAGCUUGGAGGAGUAGAUCUUCAAAAAUUUAGGUUAAAUUUUGGAGGAAUAGAUUCGGUUGUAAAAUAAUUUUUUUAGCAAUUAUUAAUAAUUAUCCGAUAAAUAGGAUGACAUGUCCUUUUUAUCAAUAAAUAUCAUAUGACAUGUCAUUUUUUACUAGGUAAAUGGGAUAAUAUGUCGUUUUUUUAAUCAAAGUUUCGUCAAUCUUAAAAGACUAGAUUACCCUUAUGAUGUCUGCGCUUGCAAACGGAAGUUAACGGAUUGGUAGACGGCAGAAGUGUUUUGUCAACUUAGGGUAUACUAGUGAUACACUUGAAAAGUGUUCACACACAUUUGAUACGGGUGUCAUUUAAAGGUAUAUGGCUGAUAAUUUCCCUUAAUUAUAUAUGACUUUCCGUCUCGGGAGAUAUUCAGCUCAUGACCAAUAACUAACCUAUAUGAAUAAUUUUACUAUAUUUAAUUUAAUUCUUUUUAAAUUUAUUAAAAUAAUCUCUAUAAAUUCAUAAACUCAUAAAAUUUUAAAUUUAACUCCUGAUAAUCAUUUUACAUUUUUACUGAACAUACCACCAACUUUCACCCAUAAAUGAAGAGUUGUAUUUUUAAAUACAUUAUUUGAAAAGAUUCAAAAAAAAAAUAUGGUACAGGUCCAUAUCACCAAUGACCCAGCUGUACCACAUUAAAUUUGUACAUAUUCCCCGCAAUCAUGAUUCAUAGAUACAUACUGGAAUUAUAAAUAUUUAAUAGUGAAAGAUAUAUAAAAUAUACAUCUUUUGACAGCUUCAUUUCAAUAAAUUUGUUUUUUUUUUCUUUUUCUUUUUCUUUUUUUUUUGGUCUUAUGUGGGUUUAUGGGCACUGACAAUAACUCUUUGGUUAGUCCGUCUCCCCUUUCCUCACUUUAAAUUGAACGAUUUGAAUUUUCCUAGCGAUUCUAGAAACAAUUUCUUAUGUUAAACUUGGCGGACUUUAAUUAUAUACUUUACGUUUUAGUUUUGGAAUAUAUUAACAGUAAUACUACACAUCCCAAAUUUCUUAUCUCAAAAAGUUAUCUCAAAUGAUGUGUCAUUAAUUGAGUGGUUGAUAAUUAUUUAUAAUAUCCAAGUGAAUUAAUUGUAUUAUCUCAUCAACUAAUUGAUAAAUGACACAUCAUUUGAGAUAACUUUUUAAGAUAAAAAAUUUGGGAUGUGUAACAUUAUUGAUAUAUUAAUGGACUGAUUUGAUUCUAUAUAAUAUUACAAAAAUAAUAUUAUUGGCCGAUGUUUAUUUUUCCAAUUGAAAAGGAGUUCAGGACAAAAUUCUGGUUACUUUCUCUUUGUCCUGUAACUAAUAUAACAUUUUUUUUUUGUCUAAGUCUACAUUUGACUGAACUCUAAAUAAAUCUAUAUAUAUAUGACUUUUUUUUUUAAUAUAUACGUUAAGUUGUUUGUUUUUUAAAAAUAAAUAAUUUAAAAUAUAAUAUUUUGACAUAUAUAAUCUCAUAAAUAUUGACAAUACUUAUAUUUUAUUAAUUAAAUAAAUGAAUUUAAUGAUAAGUUAUAAAAAAAACUAUUUGAUUCGUAAAAAAAAAAUUGAUAAUGUAUACCUUAACAAAGCAUGAAAAAUAAAACAAAAUAAAAUAUGUAUCUAGCAUAUGUAUUUUUUUGGGAUAUUAUCAUUUUCCCACCAAAGGUAUUCUGACACAUCAUGUCAGUACCACGGUUUGGUAAAAUCAUCAAUUUAUCACCAAAUAUUUAAACUGUUAGCAUUUUCCCACCAUUCCGUUAAAACUCAGUUAAUAUGUAACGGAAAAUUCAUAAAAGGUCAAUUUUACCCCUGGAGCGUAAAAGACUAUGUAAUUAACCUUUUAUGAAAUUUGUAAUUAAAUCAUCAUUUGUUGUUCUUCCUUCUUAAAGGGCAAAAAUUACCCUUUAUGAAUUUUGUAAAAUUGACCUUUUAAAAGACCAUGUAAUUAACCUUUUAUAAAAUUUGUAAUUAAAUCAUCAUUUGUUGUUCUUCCUUCUUAAAGGGUAAAAUCGUAUUUUACGCUCCAGGGGUAAAAUUGACAUUUUAUGAAUUUUCCGUUACAUAUUAACUGAGUUUUAACGAAAUGGUGGGAAAAUACUGACAGUUUAAACAUUUGGUGGUAAACUGAUGGUUUUACCAAAUCGUGGUACUGACAUGAUGUGUCAGAAUACAUUUGGUGGGAAAAUGAUAAUAUCCUAUUUUUAAAAAAAAAUUAAUAUAUGAUACUAAAUGGUGACCUAGCUUUCUUCUUCUUCUUCUUCUUCGUCUUCCUUUGGACUGGUCCAUUUGAUAAAGUUCGAUAAUUUAUUUUUUUUCUUUCGUUAUCAUUGAUUAACUUCAAAUAACUAUAUAUAUCAUAUAGAAGUUUACUUGAUAGACACGACAAGUCAUAAGUUCACACUCCCCGUUCUGCCGAUGACUUUAUUUUUGGUGACUUUAAUUUCUUUCUAGUAAACUACAUUUUAAAGCCAAAACCGCGUAGGAUUGUCAUCUCAGGUCCUACUAUACUCUUAGAAAAUCAUUAUCCCUGUUUUAUUCCUUCACUUACCUUAAUCCUCUACUGGGUUUCUAGUUUAGUUUUAAUUUCUAAAGAUCAGUACUCGAGCAGUCUCUAGCAGAAUCAAUGGGGUGUUGUGUAAGCAAAAGCCAACGUUUUCCAAUUCUUGGUAAACCUUAUGAAGAUGUUAUGUUACAUUACUCUUUUGGCAGAAUGUUGGGUAGGGGUCGAUUUGGUGUGACUUAUUUAUGUACCGAGAAUUCAACCAACAUGCCAUAUGCUUGCAAGUCUAUGGCUAAGAAGCCAAAGAUGAAAUAUGCAGAAAAUGAUAUGAUGAUCAGAAGAGAGAUUCAGAUAAGGCGGCUCUUGAGUGGGCAGCCUAACAUUGUUGAGUUAAAGAGUGCUCAUGAGGAUGAGACUGCUGUGCAUGUGGUUAUGGAAUUAUGUGAAGGUGGUGAUCUGUUUGAUAGGAUUAUUGCCAAGGGUUAUUAUAGUGAGAGAGAUGCAGCCCCUGUACUCAGGGCUAUUGUGAAUGCCGUGAAUGUCUGCCACUCCAUGGGCGUUAUGCACAGGGAUCUCAAACCUGAGAAUUUCUCCUUCAUCAGCAGGGAUGACAAUGCUCUUUUGAAGGUCACCGAUUUUGGGUCCGCACUUCUCUUUGAAGAGGGUAAUUUCUCGUCCUUGAUUAAUUAAUUAGCUACAAUUUUUUAUAAUAUGCAAAUUGAUCGUUUCCUUUCCUGAACCCCUUUUUUUAACUGUUUUCAAGAGUUAAGCUUAGAUUGUGAGAAUUUUUUUUUUAAAAAAAAAAAUCGUUUUAUUAAUAUGAAAUCUGACGCAAUAUUAUCAUAUUAAUAAUAAAAAAAUAAAAUCAACUAACACAGUAAUCUUAAGAUACAUUUUAUUUUUUAAGAUGGAUUAAAUAUCAAAUCAUUUUAUUUUGUGAAAAGCCUUGACGAAGCAAGGAAAAUUAUAUUAAAAUAGAAAAGGGUGGUGGAACUUAUGGCUGGAACCAUGAGUGCAUCUAAAGUUGAUAUUACAAAAUUUCUUACGACAAUUGACCCAACGAUUACGAAGCUGCCAGGGAGGCCUAAGAGUUCGUUCGAAGAAAAAGAGCACAAUCAACAUAGAGUCAAUUUCCACCACCCUUAAGCAUAAGCCAAAUCAAUCACCGAAAAAAGCAGACAUAAAGGCAGUGUUAUUAUUCUUGUCAAUUUAUAAAUAAAUAAAUGAAAAGAAAAAGUUUUCAAAUUAAUCAACUUAAUUGCCAACCCAUUCUCUACAUCCGCAGUGUCUCGGGCUGGCUAGUGAAUUGUAUUACCUCGCAUCAAACUAAAUUAUAUAGAUAAAUUCUGAUCUUAUCUAAGAUAUUAACAUUAAUUUUAAUUCUUGACUGAUGAUCUAAUGGUACACUUCCAGGAAAGGUAUAUAGAGAUAUUGUAGGGAGCGGUUUUUAUAUUGCUCCUGAGGUAUUACGGCGCAGAUAUGGGAAGGAGAUAGACAUUUGGAGCGCAGGCGUUAUCCUGUAUAUUUUACUAUCUGGUGUACCUCCAUUUUGGGCAGGUGAAAAUAUUCGUUUGAUUUGCAGCCUAGCUACAUGCAUGAUCUCUUUUCACUUCAACAACCGUACCCUUUACAUGUUUAUUUCCAUUACCUUAAAUACCUAAGUACAGCAAGUGUAAAUAUAGUCAAUCAGUACUUGUGAUGAUGUAUAUAUGCACCCUGCAGAAACGAAGAAGGGCACUUACGACGCUAUAUUGCAAGGAGAAAUUGACUUUGAAACUGAUCCAUGGCCAAGUAUUUCCAGCACUGCCAAGGGCUUGGUACGCAGGAUGCUGACAAAGGAUCCAAAAAGGCGGAUUACUGCUGCUCAAAUUCUAGGUAGACAGCACUAGAGAAUCCUGAGGCUUGUUAUCUGUUUAGUUUUAUAGUCUGUAUAUAAGUUCAAAAUUUACUUGGUCCAAUUAAUCGCACCAAUAUUAUCGAUACCACUGAGAAUUGAAUGCAUGAUAUGCAGAGCAUCCUUGGCUUAGAGAAGGUGGAGAAGCAUCAGACGACACUUCUGUUAUUUUAAGGAUGAAGCAGUUUAGGCGAAUGAGCAAACUAAAGAAACUCACAGUAAAGGUAAUCUAAUUUAAUUAGUCUAACUAACAAUAUAUAUAGCUCUUCAAAAUUUAGGUAUGCCCAUAUUAGUACAGGAUUCGAACUGACGUAUGAAAAUCUAUUAUUUGUUAUUGAUAUCAACAAUGAUUAAUUUAUUCUUGAGUUUUGAUCAUAGUAUCUUAUAAACUAUAUGUGCAGGUCCAAUGAAUUAAUUUGUAAAUUUGAUUGUGCACCCCUUCUGAUAUACUGAGUGGUUAUUUAUUAGGUCAUUGUGGAAUAUCUUCCCGACGAAGAAACACAAGCGCUAAAGGAAAAGUUCAUAGAGAUGGACACUGACAAAAAUGGCACUCUCAGUUAUGAUGAACUGAGGGCAGGAUUAACUAAAGUUGGAUCGAUGCUUACAGAAUUUGAUGUCAAGCAGUUAAUGGAAGCUGUAAAGAAUUCAUCAACUCUUGAGUUUAUUCUAUAUACCGUCUAUCAAUUGGCAUCAUUACACUCAAGUGAUAUUGUUUGCCAUAUAUAUAUACACAAUUUUUUGCAGGCUGAUAUGGAUGGAAAUGGGGCUAUUGACUACACUGAGUUUACAGCUGCUACGAUUCAAAGGCAAAAGCUAGAAAGAUCUGAGUAUCUUAGCAAAGCCUUUCAAUAUUUUGAUAAGGAUAAUAGUGGGUAAGUUUCUGACUCUAAAUUAAAUUAAUGUCAAAAAAUUAAAAAAAAAAAUGAUGACCAUUUGGAAAUUUUAAUAUCUAUAGCCUCAGAAAGACCAGAUAUUGUUAUGCUUUUCUUUUAAUUAUUAUUGGAAAAGGAUGCUGAAGUUAUUUUCUGAAUGUGCAGAUAUAUCACAUUAGAUGAACUGGUUACAGCUUUUAAAGAAAAUAACAUGGGCGAUGAUGCUAAAAUUAAGGAAUUGUUGUCUGACAUUGAUAGUAAUAAAGUAAGUUGAUUUUAAUUUUGAUUUUCUGACAACAGUAUUAAUUUCUCUGAAUUAUCUAUUAAUAUGUGGAAGCUCUCACGGGUCACGUCUUCAAUUUGUGUUUUAAGGAUGGUAUGAUCAGCUACGAUGAAUUUCGUGCAAUGGUGGAAAGCCCCCAAACUAUAAGAAAUGUGUCGCACAUUUACACUGACAAAGCCAAAAAAUUUGGAUUAGGGUAAAUACUUUUCUGACUUUAUAAAAUAAUAUGUACAUACUACAUAUAUAAUUUUUCUUAUAGUCUUGAAGAAAUAUCAGCUAUACAAAAGCAGAUUAUUUAAUUCAGCUCAAUUUCUCAUAAGAAAACACAAAGACUAGUUCCUAUAGUUAUUAGUUUUUCUCAUCUAUGUUGCUUUGAUUAUGAGCUAAAAUUUAUUUAGUCUAAAUUAUGAUGGUACCAGUAGUAGUAGUAGUGUGUGUGUGUGUGUAUAUGUAUAUAUAUAUAUAUAUAUAUAUAUAUGUUCAAUUUGUGCAGACAAAGCUAGCUAAUUGACACCGCUGUUAAUUAUUUUCAGGAAUACCAAGCAAUUUAGAGCAAUGAACAUGCUAAAGAAACUCGUUCUACAGGUAAUUAAUUAUAACUUCAGCACAUUCAGAAAAUAACUUCAGCAAUGCCGCACAUGCAAACCACAAAACCUUUAAUCAUAGUUUGUCACACGCGAUGUCACGUACACCGGAUCAAAAUUCAAUUGAUAAAAAAACAGAUGACAUUGACCACACCUAGCUAACUAAUAAUUAAUGUUAUUAAAAAGAUUCUUCCCAUUUAGGAGCUAGCUCAGAUUAGGACUCAAGUAUGAGAAUUGGAUACAACAGUGACAAUCGUUAGUUAAAUGCUUGAUUGAAUUUCUGCAUCUGCACUUCCUCACCAACAGUGUUUUUGUUGCAAAGUAUUUGUUAUUAUAUUCUGUAAGCUAUAUAUGUGCAAGCCAAUGAAUUUAUGCAUUUAAUUGAGCUUCCUCUACUGAUAAAACUGAGUGGAUUUUCAGGUCAUUGUGGAAAAUCUUCCAACAGAAGAAAAGCAAAAGCUAAUGGAAAAAUUUAGAGAGAUGGACACUGACAACAGUGGCACCCUUACUCUCAGUGAGUUGAAGGCAGGAUUAGCUAAACUCGGAUCAGCGCUUGAAGAAUCUGAAGUCAACCAAUAUAUGGAAGCUGUAAGGAAUUCAUGAACUCUGAAUUUAUUUUAGUGUCUGUCUAUUCGGAUAUUAUAUAUACUCGGCUGAUAUAUACUGUUGGCACUGCAUUUCUCCAGGGUGAUAUAGAUGGAAAUGGGAAUAUUGAUUUCAUUGAAUUUGUAAAUCUCAUGACGGAUAUAUACAAGCUAGAAACUCCUGAACUUCUUGAGAAAGCCUUUCAAUAUCUUGAUAAGAAUGGUGAUCAGUAAGUUUCUUGUUCCAAAAAAUUACUGCAUCAUUCUUUGGCCUUUUAAAAUCUAUAUAUGGCCGCCUCCAAUAGUUUGGUGGAGUGGUUUUUAAGCAGUUAUAGUUGGUUGGUUACAGAGUUUGAAUCCUGAGAAGAUAGAGGGCUAAAAGAAAUUAUUUGGGUUUUGAAAGUUAAGUUGAUUUAAUCGCACACUUGUAUGAUGAAAAAUCUAUGAUAUCUUUAUUAUUUUUGCUAAAAUUAUUAUUUAAAAGUUAUAUUUACUAUAUAUUAUCAAUUUAUUUAUUUAUUAUUUCAUACCUUCGGUGUUUUUUUUUUCCCAUAAUAACUAUGGCUUUUUAACAAAUGAAGUUUUUUCUAUUUCAUUUUUAUUGUUGUUAUGAUUAUGAUUAUUAUUAUGGAAAGGACACUGAAGUUCUUUUUGGGAUGUGUAGAUUUAUCACUGUGAAUGAACUGGAAACAGCUUUUAAAGAAAAUAAUAUGGGUGAUGAUGCUACAAUUAAGGAGAUAAUCUCUGAAGUUGGUAGAGAUCAUAAAGUAAGUUGAUUUUUAGUUUUUUGACAACAUGUUUGACAAUAAUAUUAUGUUUACUCAGUUGAUAUACUCAAUUUGUAUGAUAACCGAUGUAUUCUCAAUCAUUUAUUUGCAUGUGCAUGUCACUAAUUGAUUUUAUUUGUAUAAACUCAAACAAUGAAUGACACAUAAGAUGCUGCAUAAAUUCAGUUACAGACUAAUUAAGGAUAGCAUUUCAUUUGUCUGCAUUAUUGUUUUGAUCGCAAUUCUCACAUCUUUAAUUUUUGUUUUAAGGACGGAAGGAUCAGCUUUGAUCAAUUUUGUGCCUUCGUGAAAGGCGGAAGCCAACUGCGAGCACCUACUCUCGGAAAUCUGAGUUAUAUGUUGAAGGGAAAGGGCCAAAAAUUUCCCGUCGAGUAAAUAUUGAAAGUUACGUGAAUUUUUUGAAAUAAAAAAUCUUAUAAGUGAGUUUUAUUCUAUAAAAUAUUUAAUUUUUUUUUGCGUAAAUAAUAAUUUAGUUCUUAUAUUUAAGUUUAAAUAUUAAUUUAGUUUUUAUAUUUUAAAAAAUACCUUAAGAUAAUCUGAUAUUAAAUAUAUUGUACUUAUGUCCUUUUUCUUGACUUUAUAAUAAUGAUGUUCUUGUAACAAUCUUUUAGACAUUAUUGAAAAGUAAAUUAAUAACAAAAGAUUUAGAUUAAUUUUUAUUUUACUUAUAAGGUUAGUUUGAUCAAUUUUUUUUUUUUUUUUGUUUUCAUAAUGUCUGCAAAAUUAUUGUAAUGGUAUUAUUACAAAAGUAAUGGUAUUAUUGCAAAAGUUAAGAAAAAAUAAGGGUACAUUAUAUAAUCAGCACAGCACAACGAAAUCAUUAUAGAUUGGGUUGGCACCCUCAACCCCACAGGCUUUUUCCCCUUUCAAACAGAUUUGAAGCAUGUUAGAUUGUAAAUUAGCCCUAGGCCUUUUGCUCUUUACAGCCAAGCAAGUCUUGGAUUAUCUUCUUAUAUAUACAUUAUGGCCGGUGCUUGAUUUGUAUUUUUUGUUACUUCGCUCAACAGAAUAAAAUUGCUGAAUUGAAUUUCAGAGCUAAAAUGGCUAAAUGCUAAUUUUAUUUGUGUACAAGAUGAUCAGACAUAAUAGAGUAAACUUUCUUAACCAAUGAUUUUUUUAGUAAUGUUAUGUUUACAUAAAUAAAAUAUUUAAUUAGAAUUCUUACUGAUGUGACAUUUUAUAUGGAUCAUUUAUUGAUUGGAUUAUAGAAAUCAAAUGUAAGUAAUUAAUAAUGAAAUCAAUUAAUAUCAUAUACAUGAUCACGAAAUCUAUCAAUGAAAUAAGCAUAACAAAUAAGCAUAAUGAGAUUAUUUUAAUUUGAUAAAAGUGGCUUUCUCUCUCUCUCUCUCUCUCUCUCUCUUUUUUAGUUUCUCUUUUGAGAAGAGUUUUUCUAAUAUAACAAAUCUUCUUAAACAACGAAUUUUAAUUUAGGUUCUAAUUUUUUUUUAUAUCGAAGUUGUUAUUAAAUAACAUGCUUAUGGGACUAAAUGACAUAACCCACCACAUCAACUGAAAAUGCGGAUUGUGAGUUAAUCCCACCUAUAACAAAUAAUAGAUUUGUUAUGAAAAAGUCCUAUUAAAACGAAGUAAUCUAGUUACUUUUGAUUGGUUAAUUCACAAGAUAAUUUUGGAUCAGAAUUUUCUCCUAUAAUUGAUAGUUAAUAAAUAAAAAUAUUAUAAAUAAAUUGAUUUUGACUGACUAUACAUUAACAAAAACAGAUACGCAUCAAAAUAAUUUUUUUAAAAGUUAUGUAUGCUUAGAUUAUGGGAUGAUACUUAUCCAACAAUUUCACCCAUGAUGUUUUAAUAUCUGAUCUUUUUUUUUUUGUCUUAACCACGGGGUAUCCUGGGGAGGGCUCCAACUGUGGGAGGCACCUUUAAGCUCAUACCACAACCCAGACUAGAAGUCCCCGCUCGAACCGAGAGGCACAAAUUCUCCCAACAAAUGCGACUUCCUUACGAUUCAAACUGGAGAGCAAACUCUGUCAAGCCACUUAAGGUGACUCCAUUGCCAGUGGAGCCAACACUUUAUUGGUUUAAUAUCUGAUCUUUUAUGUAACACUUUUUAGUUUACCAAAAUAAUUUAUUUUAAAAUCAAUAAAAAAAAAAUCAAUUUUUAAAUUUUGUUGCCAUUGAGAUAUAGAUUAUGACAACAUUUUCAGUUGUUCAUACUGUGUUGAUUGAUGUUAUAUGAAUAUUAGAACAACCACGUCUUUAUAUAUAUAUAAAAAAAAAACAUUGAAGAGAUUAAAAAAUUGAAGGGUGAUGAUUAAGGAGAUGGAUCGUUAAUUUUAUUAAUAUUUUUUAUCUCCCUCUCUCUCCUGUCUUUAAUAAUGUUUCUUUCCUUCAAUGAUUUUUUAAUCUCUCCACUCCACUGCCUUUCUCUCCUUCUUCCUCUAUCUGUUGUUAAUUAUUAUUUGUUUAUCUUUCAUGUCAUAUAUAAAAAAAAAGGGAAAAAAACGAUUAUUUAAAAAUUCCAAAGAGAUUGAGGCUUCUGAGUGGAGGAAUGUACAGAGUCAAAGGAACUGCUGAGAAAGCCACUGUGAAAAACAGCUGCAGCAUUAUUAAUAAUUAAUAAGCCCACACAACCAGUACAGAGAGAUUUCCGAGCUCUUGUUUUUUCAAGUUUUUGAAAAAGAAAUGAUUUGGGAAAUUUCACUUUGGCCUUCUGAGCAUAAACAUUUGGAUUUGUAUAUAAAUAUUUUAAUUUAAAAGAAAAAAAAAGAGAGAAGCUUCAAAGAAGAGGAAAAGAGUUCUGGAAAUUUAGAGAAAGAUGAAAAGUUGAAGAAAGUUCAUUGCUAGGUGCGCGCAUGACCGGUGGUUGCGUUGUGGGGGCUGGUAAUUACCUGCCGAUGAUCUGAGUCUGAGUCAACUCCUAUUUAUAUAUAUAUAUAUAUAUAUAUUAAAUGUAUUUGCUUCUCAUGAUAAGAAUAACAAGGAUUAAGUGUCGCUUAUUGAUUGUACUGACAUUAUGAUUCAUAAUUUAAAGAGGGAAAAAACAAAACUAAAGGAUAACUCUUUGUUUGGAAAAUUUUAAAAAUUAUAUAAAAUUAAUAUCCCAAUUUAUAAUAUAGUUUUUAUUGCUAUAACAGUUAUCAGCUCUCUUUUUAGAUGAUCAUGAUAAUAUCCUUCCAACAGGACAAAACUAUCUUGCCCAUGUCAAUGUGGUGGAUAGGCGCUGUCACCAUGCUUAAGUAUUUAAGCCAUUUUGGAAUUUUUCCCAUUGUUGUAUCACGCAUUAUCACUGCAAAUUGUGGGAGCUGUGUGUUCGUGUGCAAGCCACAGUAACCUUUUUUAUAGGUAGCACAAAACGGUGCGGUAGUAAGAAUCUCAUUUUCCAUCAUUUAAAGAUUAAAAAAAAAAAAAGUGAGGUGAUAUUUUAUCCUAUAAUUUGUGUAAACAAAUUGCACUUAAAAAAGGUUAACAAAAAAAAAAAAAAAACAUGUCACAGGGUUUGUUAGUUUAAUUGAAAAUUAACAGUCAAAUUAAUAAAUAGCUGGUAUCUGUCCAUGUGAUUGUGGGAGUAAAAUUUCCCAUAAUAUAGUAAUAAAUCUCUCCAUCCUUCAUUGGAAUAAAUUUUUAUCCAGUAAAAUGAAGGUUUUAAAUUCCUCUCUUUCGGCCAAACCGAUUAAGUCUAGACUCCUCUCCUCUGGUCUACGCGCUGUGCACUGCUACUUUGCCCUGAGAUUCUUGCUUUUGUUGUGCGUGUGUGGUUCAAGACUCUGGAAGGUAUGUUUUCAUUUAACUUAAUUUCCAAUUUCGAUUUUUUUUUCUUUAAUUUUAUUUUAUUGUUAAACUUUUAACUUCACAGUUUCGUACACCGAUUUGAAUUAAACUUCAGAUUAACAAUAGUCCAUAACCUUUCGUCUCUCUCACUUACUCUUUCCUCUCCCUUUUUCACAAACCCCUUGAAGCUUUUAACAAUUUUCAUACUCAGUUAAUUUAAAUUCGAGUUAAACUUCAACUUGAAUCUUUCAAGAUCUAGAACAAUGUAAACGUAAUUAUUAACGUAUAGAAUUCGUAUAGCAUUCGGUUUUGUAUAUAGAAGUCGUAUAGAAUUCGGUUUCAUAUUUAAAGUAAUUAGAUUUGUAUAUAUAUUAUGAAUCUGUAAUGCUUUUCUACUUAGGAUUCUAUUCUUUAGGGUUGUACAUCUAUAUAUAUAUGUAGCAACGUUAAUGCAAGUAAUAACAAGAGUUUUAUUCAUAAACUCCGUUCUUUAUUUUACAUGGUAUCAGAGCUUUGCUCACUUAUCAAAUUAUUAUCUUCGUUCUUUUGCUUUUGUUUAAAUACUCAUGGCAGAUGGUCAAUCAUCAAAACAAGCUGCCAUCCUUAAUAAACAGGAGGAUGACGUCUUCCUUGUCCACCCAUCAGAUAGUCCAACUGCUGUAUUGGUCUCUCCUUUACUCACUGGUGAUAACUAUGGUACAUGGGUAAGGGCAAUGACUAUGGCUUUAUGAGCGAAAAACAAGCUCGGUUUUGUUGAUGGAACUAUAUCAAAACCAGAUGAAGAUGAAAAUGAUGGUGGUAGAUGGCAACAUUGUAAUGAUCUUGUUGGAUCUUGGGUGUUGAACUCCAUAGCAAAUGAACUUGCGGGAAGUGUGUUGUAUGCACAGUCUGCUAGAGAAGUAUGGCAGGAUUUGCAAGAACGUUUUCAGCAGACCAAUGCGCCAAAAAUCUAUGAACUCAAACAGGCCAUCUCUAAUUUACGACAAGGAGAUGCAUUUGUUUCAUUUUAUUAUACUCGCAUGAAGGCGCUUUGGGAUGAGUUGAAUUCUCUACAACAAGUAGGACCAUGUACUUGUGCGAAUGCAAAAAUUGUCAGUCAAUUGCAGCAACUAGAUCGAGCUAUGGAGUUUCUUCAAGGAUUACAUGAUAGAUAUGUAGCAACGAGGAGUCAGAUUUUGUUUAUGGAUCCUUUUCCUAAUGCAAAUAAAAUUUAUUCCCUUGUGAGGCAAGAAGAAAAACAACAAGAUAUUCACGCUAUAGGGGGAUCUCCAGAAGCUGCAGCAUUGACAACACAAAGCCGAAAUUCAUUUGGAAAUAGGAAUUGGAAUAACAAUUCUGCAGUAGAUAACAAAGGAGGAAACUUGAAUGCAAAUGGGGGCAGACCAUCGUGUGAACACUGUGGAAAAUUAGGCCACACAAAACAAAAAUGUUUUGAGUUAAAUGGAUAUCCACCAAAUUGGAGAAGACGUGGACAAGGUAAUAAAAAUGAGAUUAAAGCUGCCAUGGCAACAAAUAGCAAUCAAGACGUCCAAACACCAAUAUUUACUCAAGAGCAAUAUCAAAAACUCCUAGCUAUGUUGUCCUCUUCAGGUAGUCUACAUACUGCAAAUCUUGCAGGUAUAGCACUUAAUUCCUCUUUAUCACAUACUUGGAUCAUAGAUACAGGCGCUACCAAUCAUAUGUGUAGUUCGCUAGAUUUUUUUCACUCCUAUAAACCAUGUCAUGUUCCUCUUCACGUUCAAUUACCAGAUGGUACAGUAGCACAAGUUACUCACAUAGGGAAAGUCUCCUUUUCACUAGAUUUUUUAUUAGACAAGGUAUUUUACAUUCUGAGUUUUAAGUUUAAUUUACUGUCUGUUAGUCAGUUAACCAAAUCAAAUAGAUAUAAGGUAAUUUUUUCUUCCAAUUUUUGUGAGUUUCAGGACCUAUACACGAAGAAGCAGAUUGGCAAGGGUAGACUUCGUGAAGGUCUUUUCUACAUCCAACUUCCAGCUGCAUUUUCUUUCACCUCCCAAAUCACCUCUACACAUGAGAUUGAUCUUUGGCAUUGGAGACUUGGCCACCCUUCUCUUGGACGUUUAGAGCAUUUUUCAAAAACUUGUCCUAUGGUUAGUUUUAAUAAAGAAUAUGUUUGUGAUAUUUGUCUUAAAGCAAAACAAACUAGAAAGCCAUUUUCCAUUAGUAGCAUCAAAAGUAAAAUACCUUUUGAAUUAAUCCAUUGUGAUGUUUGGGGUCCUUUUUCAACUUCAAGUUUUUCAGGGGCUCAUUAUUUUUUAACCAUUGUUGAUGAUUAUACUCGAUGCACUUGGUUAUAUUUAAUGAAAACCAAAUCUGAAACCCAAUUGCAUUUACGUUCUUUUCAUGCAUUGAUAAAAACUCAAUUUAAUGCUAACAUUAAAAUUGUACGUUCUGACAAUGGGACUGAAUUUCUUGUUAAAGAAUUACAGAAAUUUUUUUUAUACCAAGGGAUCAUUCAUCAAAGAAGUUGCGUUCGAACACCGCAACAGAAUGGUGUGGUUGAGCGUAAACAUCGCCAUAUUCUCGAAGUUGCGCGAGGUCUACGUUUUCAAGCCAAUUUGCCAAUUAAAUUCUGGGGGGAGUGUGUUCUUACUGCAACAUUUUUUAUCAAUAAAUUGCCUAGUGAUGUUCUUAAUGGAAAAACCCCACAUGAAAUGCCUUUUAGUAUAGCACCAGAUUUAUCACGCCAAAAAGUUUUUGGUUGCUUGUGUUUUGCCAAAAAUUUACAAGUUAAAAAUAAAUUUGAUCAGCGGGCGAAAAUGGAAAUUUUUAUUGGUUAUCCUUUUAGUCAAAAAGGAUAUGGGAUUUAUGAUAUUAAAUCUAAGACAAUCUAUGUGUCACGUGGUGUUCUCUUUUAUGAAUAUAUUUUUCCUUUUAAGGAUGUUAAAUCACCGGUUUUUUCUACACAUGUCACUAAUGAGUUUUUAUUUGAUGAAAAUUUUUUCGAGUCCAACACUCUUUUAUCACCUUCUCCUAAUGAAAACAUAAGUUCAUCACAUGCUCUUCAUGAACGUGACCCACCUUUGCAAGACACAGAUCCAUCCGUCACCAAUUCUUCUUCUCCUAACACCACUCAUGAACACAUCAUCACUGAAACAUCAUCUACCCAACAGCCUAGUUCACCAGCAGAUGCAACCUUAGAUUCAUCACUUUCUUUAGGCAACCAAAAUAUCCAAACUCCCACACGACCCCAACGUGAUAGACGCCCACCAGCUUACCUUCAAGAUUAUUGUACUCUUGCUUCUCACAAUUCUACCCCUGCUGAUCUUAUUUCUUCGUCUCCAGGUAAGAAAUAUCUUCUUCACAAUUUUAUUUCUUAUCAUCGUUUUUCUCCAGCACAUAAGUCCUUUUUGUCUGCCAUUACUUCUACAACCGAACCAAGUUUUUUUUCAUGAGGCAGUCAAGUUACCUGAGUGGCGCAAAGCCAUAGAGGAUGAGAUAACAGCUCUUGAGAAAAAUAAUACGUGGACUCUAACUCAUUUGCCAGAUGGUAAAAAGGCUAUUGGCAGCAGAUGGGUUUACAAAAUUAAAUAUCAAUCCGAUGGCACCAUUGAGCGUUACAAAGCUCGUUUAGUUGCUAAGGGAUAUACUCAAACAGAAGGCAUUGAUUAUCAUGCUACUUUUUCACCGGUUGCUAAGCUUGUCACUGUGAGAGCUUUACUUUCUCUUGCGGCUGUUAAGGGUUGGAUUUUAGAACAAUUAGAUGUAAGCAAUGCUUUUUUACAAGGAGAUUUAGAGGAAGAAGUUUAUAUGCAAGUACCACAAGGUUUUUCUAAGCAGGGGGAGCAUUUAGUCUGCAAACUCAACAAAUCUAUCUACGGAUUAAAACAAGUAUCCAGAAAUUGGUUUUCCAAGUUUUCUGCUACUAUUCAACAAGCUGGUUUUCGCCUAUCUAAAGCUGACUAUUCAUUAUUUGUAAAAACUAAUGCCAAAUUUUCAACCUUUGUGUUAGUUUACGUUGAUGAUAUUAUCGUAGCAGGGAAUGAUGCUGCCGAGGUUAGCAGAAUUAAAGAUUUCCUUGCACAGAAAUUUUACAUCAAGGCAUUAGGGAAGUUGAAGUAUUUUUUGGGGAUAGAAGUGGCACGGUCAUCACGUGGGAUUUUCUUGAGUUAGCGAAAAUAUGCCCUGGAUAUUUUAAAGGAUGCCGGUUUACUUGCUGGACGAGUUUCUCAUUUUCCAAUGGAACAACAACUUCGGCUUUCAUCUACAGAUGGCGACCUUUUAUCAAAUCCCUCAAGUUAUCGACGUCUUGUAGGUCGGUUGGUCUAUCUCACAGUUACCAGGCCUGAUAUUGUCUUUGCAGUACAUGUUUUAAGUCGAUUUAUGCAUGAACCACGAACUACUCAUAUGGAUGCUGCCAUUCGAGUGCUUCGGUAUUUAAAAGGCUCACCAGGCAAGGGUAUCUUAUUAUCUUCAACAAGUGACUUACAUAUCCGGGGUUACUGUGAUGCGGAUUAGGGUAGUUGUCCUACUACACGUCGGUCUGUUACUGGUUAUUGUACUUUCCUUGGUGACAACCCUAUAUCUUGGAAAACAAAGAAGCAAAAUGUGGUCUCUCGAUCUACAGCAGAAGUUGAGUAUCGCUCCUUGGCUGAUCUUUCAUCUGAAUUACAGUGGCUCAAAGCACUUUUUGCUGAUUUGGGGCACCUUCAACAUGAUCCUAUGACUGUUUAUUGUGAUAAUCAAUCAGCUUUAUAUAUCGCCGAGAAUCCUGUCUAUCAUGAGCGAACAAAGCACAUUGAGUUAGAUUGUCAUUUCGUGCGAGAGCGUGUGCAAUCCAAUUUGUUAUUACCACUGCAUAUUCCUACUUCCAUGCAAGUAGCUGAUGUGUUUACAAAACCUCUCGGACAUGCUCUUUUCCAUCAUCAUAUACGCAAGUUGGGUGUUGUUGAUCUCCACGCUCCACCUUGAGGGGGAGUAUUAACGUAUAGAAUUCGUAUAGCAUUCGGUUUUGUAUAUAGAAGUCGUAUAGAAUUCAGUUUCAUAUUUAAAGUAAUUAGAUUUGUAUAUCUAUUAUGAAUCUGUAAUGCUUUUCUACUUAGGAUUCUAUUCUUUAGGGUUGUACAUCUAUAUAUAUAUAUGUAGCAACGUUAAUGCAAGUAAUAACAAGAGUUUUAUUCAUAAACUCCGUUCUUUAUUUUACAAUAAUGUUUUGAAAUAACCAAAAAAAAAAGUCUUUUAAAGUCUAGUAAGCUAUUUUUUCACACCCAAUUUAAAUCUUAUUUUCAAUAUGAUUAAGUUGGUUGAGAAAUUCAGUGUAUUCGGCUUUGUUAGAAGGAUAUUUUUCCUGAAAGCAGCUUGUUUAAUUCUUUGUUGCUUCUCUAUGUAAUGCUGCAUCAAUAAUCGUUGUCAUAGCUGAACAGAUAAUCGAUAAUGGAUCAAGAACUACUCGAGGUACUGAGACAUGGGGAUGAAUAUAAAAUCAAGCAACUCGCACUUCGUCAGGAUAUUUUCAGUACCACAAGUCCCGGAGGAAAUGCAGUCCUGCAUAUGGCUGUCAGAUUCAGAAACCAACAAGUGAUACGGGAGAUUCUGAGGCAACAAGAUUUUAUUGCCUUGAGACUCCAUUACUCACUUCUCCGUCAGAAAAACUUGAUAGAUGAGACUCCGCUGCAUAUUGCUGCCAGGAUUGGUGACCGAGCUAUCGUCAGUGAAAUCAUGAAAUAUGUGCCUGCGGUAAAUCAAGUGGGUCCGGCUCCGGUACUUGAAAGCCUUUUUCGGAUGACAGAUAUCAAAGGUAACACACCUCUGCAUAACGCUGUAACAAACCAACACAAGUGUGUGAUUCGGAUUCUGGUUGAAAAGGAUAGUGUUCCAAGUUGCUAUAUUAAUAAAGCUUACCGGACCCCACUCUCAAUCGCCAUUGAUGCAAGGUUAAAUGAUAUUGCUUGUUUCAUCAUCGAUAAAAGUCCAGAGUCUCUUAACACCACUAGAUUGCCAGAUGAACUGACACUUCUCCAUUUUGUUGUCAUGAGGCAAAACUAUGGUGAGCCGGCCCGUGAUUAAUUAAUUUUUUCAUUUCUUUAAACAAAUGCCUUCAGUAUAUAUAGUUUGAGAUUUUUCUGAAAGCAUGCAAUUCCUGCAAUUUAUAGAUAUCAUGGUCAAGAUACUGGGAACAAACAAAGAACUCAUUGAUCGGUUAGACUGACACCAGAGGAAUCCUCUUCAUUAUGCAGCUGCCUUGGGUAAUGUUACAAUGGCACAACGCUUGUUAGAAGCAAGCAAACAACUUGCAUAUAAACAGGACUGUUACGGUGAGACGCCACUUCACUUGGCCGCAGAGAAUGGCAAACUAAAGGUUUUGAAACUGCUUAUCAACAAAUACCCAGAUGCUAUUGAGAUCCGCAACAACAAUGAUCGCAGCAUCCUCCAUGUUGCUGCUAAACAUGGAAAUUGGAAUAUCGUGUCAUUCAUUCUCAGGUCCCCUGAAAUGGAGAAUUUGAUUAACUUAGUUGAUAGAAAUGGAAAUACGCCGUUGCAUCUGGCUUCAACGGGCUUCCAUAGUGAUGUGGUUUUCAC